rnacentral:rRNA from 1 species
GUGACGGUACCUGCAGAAAAAGCGCCGGCUAACUACGUGCCAGCAGCCGCGGUAAUACGUAGGGCGCAAGCGUUAUCCGGAAUUAUUGGGCGUAAAGAGCUCGUAGGCGGUUUGUCGCGUCUGCUGUGAAAUCCGGAGGCUCAACCUCCGGCCUGCAGUGGGUACGGGCAGACUAGAGUGCGGUAGGGGAGAUUGGAAUUCCUGGUGUAGCGGUGGAAUGCGCAGAUAUCAGGAGGAACACCGAUGGCGAAGGCAGAUCUCUGGGCCGUAACUGACGCUGAGGAGCGAAAGGGUGGGGAGCAAACAGGCUUAGAUACCCUGGUAGUCCACCCCGUAAACGUUGGGAACUAGUUGUGGGGUCCAUUCCACGGAUUCCGUGACGCAGCUAACGCAUUAAGUUCCCCGCCUGGGGAGUACGGCCGCAAGGCUAAAACUCAAA